UAGUAACUGCGAGUGAAGCGGGAAAAGCUCAAAUUUAAAAUCUGGCGGUCUCUGGCCGUCCGAGUUGUAAUCUAGAGAAGUGUUAUCCGCGCUGGACCGUGUACAAGUCUCCUGGAAUGGAGCGUCAUAGAGGGUGAGAAUCCCGUCUUUGACACGGACUGCCAGGGCUUUGUGAUGCGCUCUCAAAGAGUCGAGUUGUUUGGGAAUGCAGCUCAAAAUGGGUGGUAAAUUCCAUCUAAAGCUAAAUAUUGGCGAGAGACCGAUAGCGAACAAGUACCGUGAGGGAAAGAUGAAAAGAACUUUGGAAAGAGAGUUAAACAGUACGUGAAAUUGCUGAAAGGGAAACGCUUGAAGUCAGUCGCGUUGGCCGGGGAUCAACCUUGCUUUUGCUGGGCGUACUUUCCGGUUGAUGGGUCAGCAUCAAUUUUGACCGUUGGAUAAAGUCCAGGGGAAUGUGGCAUCUUCGGAUGUGUUAUAGCCCUUGGUCGCAUACAACGGUUGGGAUUGAGGAACUCAGCACGCCGCAAGGCCGGGUACUUGUACCACGUUCGUGCUUAGGAUGCUGGCAUAAUGGCUUUAAUCGACCCGUCUUGAAACACGGACCAAGGAGUCUAACAUGCCUGCGAGUGUUUGGGUGGAAAACUCGGACGCGUAAUGAAAGUGAAAGUUGAGAUCCCUGUCGUGGGGAGCAUCGACGCCCGGACCAGACCUUUUGUGACGGAUCCGCGGUAGAGCAUGUAUGUUGGGACCCGAAAGAUGGUGAACUAUGCCUGAAUAGGGUGAAGCCAGAGGAAACUCUGGUGGAGGCUCGUAGCGAUUCUGACGUGCAAAUCGAUCGUCAAAUUUGGGUAUAGGGGCGAAAGACUAAU
rnacentral:rRNA from 1 species